rnacentral:rRNA from 1 species
CCUACGGGAGGCAGCAGUGGGGAAUAUUGGGCAAUGGGCGAAAGCCUGAUCCAGCAACGCCGCGUGAAGGAAGAAGGCUUUCGGGUUGUAAACUUCUUUUAUCAGGGACGAAGCAAGUCACGGUACCUGAUGAAUAAGCCACGGCUAAAUACGUGCCAGCAGCCGCGGUAAUACGUAGGGGGCAAGCGUUAUCCGGAUUUACUGGGUGUAAAGGGCGUGUAGGCGGGAGUGCAAGUCAGAAGUGAAAAGUGUGGGCCCAACCCAUAGCCUGCAUUUGAAACUGUACGUCUUGAGUGCUGGAGAGGCAAGCGGAAUUCCGAGUGUAGCGGUGAAAUGCGUAGAUAUACGGAGGAACACCAGUGGCGAAGGCGGAUUACUGGACAGUAACUGACGCUGAGGCGCGAAAGCGUGGGGAGCAAACAGGAUUAGAUACCCUGGUAGUC